rnacentral:rRNA from 1 species
CAGCCGCCGCGGGAAUACGUAGGUGGCAAGCGUUGUCCGGAAUUAUCGGGCGUAAAGGGCUCGCAGGCGGUUUCUUAAGUCUGAUGUGAAAGCCCCCGGCUCAACCGGGGAGGGUCAUUGGAAACUGGGAAACUUGAGUGCAGAAGAGGAGAGUGGAAUUCCACGUGUAGCGGUGAAAUGCGUAGAGAUGUGGAGGAACACCAGUGGCGAAGGCGACUCUCUGGUCUGUAACUGACGCUGAGGAGCGAAAGCGUGGGGAGCGAACAGGAUUAGAUACCCCCGUAGUCCCUGUCUCUUAUAC